AACGAACGCUGGCGGCAUGCCUAACACAUGCAAGUCGAACGAGACCUUCGGGUCUAGUGGCGCACGGGUGCGUAACGCGUGGGAAUCUGCCCUUGGGUUCGGAAUAACAGUUAGAAAUGACUGCUAAUACCGGAUAAUGUCUUCGGACCAAAGAUUUAUCGCCCAGGGAUGAGCCCGCGUAGGAUUAGCUAGUUGGUGAGGUAAAGGCUCACCAAGGCGACGAUCCUUAGCUGGUCUGAGAGGAUGAUCAGCCACACUGGGACUGAGGCACGGCCCAGACUCCUACGGGAGGCAGCAGUGGGGAAUGUUGGACAAUGGCGAAAGCCUGAUCCAGCAAUGCCGCGUGAGUGAUGAAGGCCUUAGGGUUGUAAAGCUCUUUUACCCGGGAUGAUAAUGACAGUACCGGGAGAAUAAAGCCCCCGGCUAACUCCGUGCCAGCAGCCGCGGUAAU
rnacentral:rRNA from 1 species